rnacentral:sRNA from 1 species
AUUUGACCGUUGUUACAGCAUAUAAUG